ensembl:snoRNA SNORA70 Small nucleolar RNA SNORA70
CUGCACUCAGUUAAGUCAACUGUGCUCUUUUACCCGUGGGGUCGGUACACAAUGGCUGCAAGCAGUAGACUCAUUGGGAGUUCCCAAAGUCUGAUACUUAUAUAAGUCACCCUAGGAGACUUCAGAGACAGCC